CCGGCACAGGGGAGGAGCAGGGGCUUGGGGAGGGCCUGGGAUCCCUGCUGGCAGUUCCCAGAUGGGGGGGGGGGGCUCCCGCCUGGAAGUGGAAGUGGACCUGACUAUUAGGUGUGUGUGCCAUAUGGCUACUAUUAUGUGUGCCGGAGCUGGGCUUUGUCAGCUGGGUGACUUACUCAGGUUUCUCCAUCGUUUUCCCACUAGGGCUUUUUUUUUUUUUUUUUUUUUUUUUAAACAGUUACUUCGAGCAUUCCAGCCGGCCUGGCCUGGCCAGCAGAGCGUUCUCACUGUCACCCUUACCCCACUCACUUUCAUUCAGUUCACAGAUUGCCUGCCCUGGGCUGUGGGCUUGGUGACAUCCUAAAGGGACUAAGGUAAAGAGAUGUGGGGGUUUCUUGUUUGGGUCAAGCCUCAGCUAGACAGAGAAGGGGCCACAGCUGUGACUGCAGUUGGGUGGCAGCUCAGAGGGAGAGUAAGACGGUGCAUGUGGCCGGGUACAGUGGCUCACGCCUGUAAUCCCAACAUUUUGGGAGACCAAGGCGGGCGGAUCACGAGGUCAGGAGAUCGAGACCAUCCUGGUUAACAUGGUGAAACCCCCGUCUCUACUAAAAAUACGAAAAAUUAGCCGGGCGUGGUGGCGGGCACCUGUAGUCCCAGCUACUCGGGAGGCUGAGGCAGGAGAAUGGUGUGAAUCUGGGAGGCAGAGCUUGCAGUGAGCUGAGAUCGCACCACUGCACUCCAGCCUGGGCAACAGAGCAAGACUCCGUCUCAAAAAAAAACAAAAACAAAACAAAACAAAACGGCAUACGCCCUGGCAUCCCACAGCCCUCAGCCCUUAGGCACACCUGGGGUUUUAGUGUUUGUGUCUGUUUCUGUUCGUCCUGUGACUUGAUCCUGGAGGACUGGCAUGAUGGUCCCCAUGUUUGUGCCAGGGUGCUCUCUUGAGCUUUCCUUACUGUUCCUGGGUGGGCACUCCCUGGCCGGGCCCUGCAUUCCGCCGUGGGCCCUGCUGCACCACACACUGCUGAGGUUCCCUUCAAAGAUGAGGACUGGGGGGGUCUGGGAUGGGUGCCGGGGACAUGCAUCUGGAGCCAGCCCAGGCCCCUCUGGCAAUUCGUUGGUUUAGGGACUGAGUGUCUCAUGGGGGCCUGGUUGCUUAUGCAGGACUUUGCUCGCAAGAGUUCUAGCAAUUCUGAAAAAGAGCAUAACCAUGUGGGUGCUAGUAGCCAGGGAAAGCUUCAUUUGUUCCAGAUACAUUCAUUUAGCUCCUACUGUGCGGCCCAGUUGCAUCUAGCACAGUGAAAAGCAGACAAUCAAAGGAGAGACAGGGAGCGAAGGGGCCAGAAGGUCUGGGCUUGGUGCACCUGGAGAGAACGACUCAGCCUGUAGGAGGUGCCAGAGAGGCACUGGGAGUCCAGAAGGAGACCUAGAUUUUCAGAAGACCAGGGCAGGGCAAAGGUCAGAGACUUGGGAAACCUCAUCACGACUUCUUUCUUCCGGGUCAGAAGCCAGAACAGGAAGACCUGUCCAGCCUGAUCUCAGGCUGCAUGGCCUCGUGGGAACCCCUGGUACCCUGCUCCAUCCAGGGUCUCAGCUCUGGCUCUCCCCAGCAGUGGUACCCCACAGAUGAAGCAGUCCUUGUCCCUAUGAUGCCACCUGGCAAUCUUCCUGUAUCAUUUAUUUCUUUCCUCAAACGUGUGCCAGGCCUGGGGGUCCGGAGGAUUCCCACAUAGAGGAAACAGGAUGAUGAAGAUAACGGAGGCAGGAGAACAUAGUGUGGCUCUCGGAACGGCAAGUUGGACUCUGCAGCUCGGGUGUUGAGUUGUAGGAGAUGGGUGGGUGAGGUGGGCAGGACCCUGGUGAAGGAGUAUUUCAUGCUUUCUCCAGUAUUUAUUUCCACCCUGCCGUGUUCCUAGAAACCGCAGGAGUUGGUGCGUCAUUCUGCGAAAGAUGGGCGUCACAAGCGUUUAAGCCUUUGAGAAGGCUUGAGCCACGCCAGCAUCCACACCGCUCGUUUGUGCUUGUGAGCCCCCUACCAGCUGUCAGUGCGUCCCUGGCCCAGAAGUGGAGGGAACGAGCACUUUGAGAUGCGCCCCCCUUGGAGCCCUCCAGGAGCUGAGAAUCAGAAGAGAUCCUGUGGGGAGAGGUGAGAUUUUCUGUACCUCUGUUUCCUUACCUGAGGUGGGUCAUAACAAAGCUCUGCCGCUUGGUAGUGCUGAGGAUUGAGACCCCCAACGCGGUGUGCUUAGAACAGUGCCUAGCGUGUCAUAAGCACAGGUGAAAUAUCAGGCAUUAUUCUGAAAGGCGGCAGGGUAUCCUGUGUAAGGGAAUGCUGUUUAUUACGUGCCGCCUUGUACGCUUGUCUCGUUAUUGCUUUUGGACAAAUUUUCAGAAGAAAAUGGUCAGACUCUGGGGUCGGCACAUUUUUAGGACGUUUGCGGCACUCUGGCACCCUGCCCUCCAGAAAGGCCAUUUGAUUUUCAGGCAUAGAGACAGCCUGGAGUUCCCUGCCCCACUUCCCCGGCACCCCUUCUUCAUCUGAUACGUAAGAAAAAAAAAAAAAA
rnacentral:lncRNA from 1 species